CUCCACCAGAGUACUACGAGCCACAGCUUAAAACUCAAAGGACUUGGCGGUGCCCCAAAUCCCCCCAGAGGAGCCUGUUCUAUAAUCGAUAAUCCACGUUAAACCUCACCACCUUUUGCCAACUCAGCCUAUAUACCACCGUCGCCAGCCUACCUCAUGAAAGAACCUAAGUAGACAAAAACGAUUAACCCGAACACGCCAGGUCAAGGUGUAGCACACAAGGUGGAAAGAAAUGGGCUACAUUUUCUUAAAAAGAAUAAUACGAAUCUACUAUGAAAAUACUUUUGAAGGCGGAUUUGGCAGUAAGGAGGGGACAAUAUCAUGCCCCCCUUAAGCCGGCCCUGGGGCGCGCACA
rnacentral:rRNA from 1 species